rnacentral:rRNA from 1 species
UGCCAGACUCCUACGGGAGGCAGCAGUGAGGAAUAUUGGUCAAUGGGCGAGAGCCUGAACCAGCCAAGUCGCGUGAGGGAAGACGGUCCUAUGGAUUGUAAACCUCUUUUGUCGGGGAGCAAAAAGGCCUCGUGAGGCCACAAGUGAGAGUACCCGAAGAAAAAGCAUCGGCUAACUCCGUGCCAGCAGCCGCGGUAAUACGGAGGAUGCGAGCGUUAUCCGGAUUUAUUGGGUUUAAAGGGUGCGUAGGCGGACGCUUAAGUCAGCGGUAAAAUUGCGGGGCUCAACCUCGGCGAGCCGUUGAAACUGGGUGCCUUGAGUGGACGAGAAGUACGCGGAAUGCGUGGUGUAGCGGUGAAAUGCAUAGAUAUCACGCAGAACUCCGAUUGCGAAGGCAGCGUACCGGCGCCCAACUGACGCUGAGGCACGAAGGCGUGGGUAUCGAACAGGAUUAGAUACCCCAGUA